GUGGGGAAUAUUGCGCAAUGGGGGAAACCCUGACGCAGCCACGCCGCGUGUGUGAUGAAGGCCCUAGGGUCGUAAAGCACUGUCGGGGGGAAAGAAGAUCUGACGGUACCCCCCAAGAAAGCACCGGCUAACUCCGUGCCAGCAGCCGCGGUAAUACGGAGGGUGCAAGCGUUGCUCGGAAUCACUGGGCGUAAAGCGUACGCAGGCGGUUUGUUAAGUUGGGUGUGAAAUCCCGGGGCUCAACCCCGGAACUGCAUUCAAAACUGGCAGACUUGAGUACGGGAGAGGGAAGCGGAAUUCCUGGUGUAGAGGUGAAAUUCGUAGAUAUCAGGAGGAACACCAGUGGCGAAAGCGGCUUCCUGGCCCGAUACUGACGCUCAUGUACGAAAGCAUGGGGAGCAAACAGG
rnacentral:rRNA from 1 species